GGGGGUAUAGCUCAGUUGGUAGAGUGCUUGCUUUGCAUGCACAAGACCCUGGGUUCAAUCCUCAGCACUGCCA
rnacentral:tRNA from 1 species